rnacentral:rRNA from 1 species
UACAGAGGUGGCAAGCGUUGUUCGGAAUUACUGGGCGUAAAGGGCGCGUAGGUGGCCAUCUAAGUCAGACGUGAAAUCCCCCGGCUUAACCUGGGAACUGCGUCUGAUACUGGACGGCUAGAGAUUGGGAGAGGGAUGCGGAAUUCCAGGUGUAGCGGUGAAAUGCGUAGAUAUCUGGAGGAACACCGGUGGCGAAGGCGGCAUCCUGGACCAACACUGACGCUGAGGAGCGAAAGCCAGGGGAGCAAACGGG